rnacentral:rRNA from 1 species
UACAUAGGGGGCAAGCGUUAUCCGGAAUUAUUGGGUGUAAAGGGUGCGUAGACGGAGAAACAAGUUGGUUGUGAAAUCCCUCGGCUCAACCGAGGAACUGCAACCAAAACUAUUUCCCUUGAGUGUCGGAGAGGAAAGUGGAAUUCCUAGUGUAGCGGUGAAAUGCGUAGAUAUUAGGAGGAACACCAGUGGCGAAGGCGACUUUCUGGACGAUAACUGACGUUGAGGCACGAAAGUGUGAGGAGCAAACAGG